GUGUUAACCAAUACCAUGCGGCUGCGUUUAUUACUCAAAGCAUAGCAACCGCUACUUUUUCCCUGGUGUUGGCGCAGUAUUCGCGCACCCCGGCCUCGGC
rnacentral:sRNA from 3 species